UGAUUCAUUGUCUUGGUAUUUGGAGAAUAAUGCAACUAUCAGCAGUUGCUAACCAUGUUAAGUAUGUUUGGAUGUAGUGAGUUGUGUUGUCUUCCUCUGAUUGCCCAGGUAACCAUUAAUUUAUGUUCUGACAACUGCUAGAACAUUAGUAUGUAAAUGCACUUUCGAAUUUCUGGAAGUUUAUGUGGAUCCAGGCUGACAAGGCCAGGUUUGGUGCAGUACUCUGUCCUAGAAGUCAAAGCUUGUCCGGGCUUCAAGCACACCAGUGACUUCUGCACUCAUAUUUGUGAUUCUCUGUCCGUGCUUCAUCAAAAUGCCCGCAAUGGUCCCAUAUUCUCAAAUGGCAUGUGCACCAUCAUUACUCCUGGCAAGAGAUCUAGCCCAGCCUGUGCGUAGCUCUCUACUAGCUGAUACAGGAAGUGGACAUGAAAGAAGCAGAUAUGAAAGGCUGUGGAUGCCCCAUCCACAGUAGGCUUGUCUGGGCUAUCUGAGUUGAUGCAGAGACAAGAUUAGGCAGUGUAGAUCUUUUCCCCUUUGACUUACUAACUUUGGUGUAAAGUAUAUGCAGACAUUAACUUGUGUGUAUGCCCUCUCACACGCUGUAAAUUAACUGAGAAAUUAAUGAGGUGAUGCACUUAUGAGUAAGAAGUGAACUGAAGAAAAAAUGACACUUUGUGUUGAAAGGCAUGGAUAAGGAUAAAACCCAGAUAUGAGAAAGAGCAACAUUGUAUAACUGAUUUGAAGAGGAGCGUGUGUCAUUAAAUCCUUGAACAAUAUUAUUUAGGGAAUAAUGUUUUGCAUACAUGUUUGAAGUGGACAUUUUUUAAAGUUUCACAGUUUCCAACUUUGGAUGGAGGAUGCACAGUAGUAAUUUUAAAAAUGCUAAAUGAUAAGAAUCACACUCAGAAAUUCUUACUGAAAUUACUCAUUGCCCUGGAAUUAAAAUGGAAAUAACAAACGUAUCUUUCAUCACUCAUUUUGAAUAUUUAUUCUUUGUAUUUCACUUACUCUAAACAAUUUUUUUAUCUCUAGGGUGAGAUCCUGACUAAUCCUUCACUGUGCUAAUUUUGCUGGGACAACACGUAAGUGGCUGAUGAUUCCAAAUAUGAACAAGGACAGCAGGCUUGGGCUUGUGCUAAUUUUGAUGAGUAAAUUGGCCUCAAGAAUGACAAGUCGUGUUAGCACUUUUUACUUUAUAACAUUAGACAGUGGAAGAUGUUAACUCUGUGCAGUGAAUCGGCAUUAGGCAGUCCUUGGGACUACUUACAGGGAACUCUCAGGUGCCUGGUCUCCACAGAAACUCACUCUUAAAAACCAUUCUCUGGUUUUGUUUUAGUAAAAGAAUGGCGUGAUUGAAAAGCAAAGUGUUGAGAGGAAUUUCACUCACAGCAAAAUGUCUUUCUUUCAUUUUACCCACUGAGUUUUUAAUAAGGAUAUUCCUUUGCCAGUUCCUUUGAAUUUUCUUGGUUCUUAGUUGGUGCUAAUGAUGCAGUAAUAGUCCUGUGUGUAUGUGGUGGGGGGAAAGAAAACAGUAUCCCACCGGUAUGAGAUUUUUUGUAGUUGUCUUUUGUGGUCUUACAACAGUGUUACAAAAGGUGGACUCUCAAUUGAUUUCUUGUCUUCUAUUUCUUUUAUUCAUAAAUUUAUUUUGCCUUUGUGGUGUGUGUGUGGGGCAACGUAUUGUCAGGAAACAGCCACAAGGGAAGAGAUGGAUAUUAGAAAUUUAGUUCUAACAUUCUAACUAUAGUCCCUCGUAGUAUUAGUUGGUUGCUUCUCUGUCUUGAUCUGUUCAGGGCUGUUUCUGGAUGAGAGGCUUUCAGUUCUUCCUGUGGAUUGUGAGGUUCUAAGAAGGUGGGUGAUAACAGCCAAAAUGGGAUAGCUGUUACUGUCAGUUUUUAUUGCAUUAGCCUUAUGAAAUUUGUUACUUCUGAUUAAUUCACUGAAUUAGAGAGUCCUGAAAUGGAAUAAUAAAAAGAAUGUCACAUUUUCUUGCCAGUUUGCUGAUUUUUCUGUACAAUUUUUUUUUUUUUAUAUUAUGUAUUUCUCACCUAGUAAGUGUAGACAUUGUUUGAAUCCAGAGAAGCUGUGGCUGCCCCAUCCCUGGAAGUAUUCAGGGCUAGGUUGGAUGGGUCUUUGAGCAAUCUGGUCUAGUGGAAGGUGUCCCUGGCCAUGGCAAGGGGAUUAGAACUAGGUGAUCUUUAAGGUCUCUUCCAACCCAAACCAUUCUAUGGGUCUAAUCUUAUCUUCAUCCUUUGCUUUUGUAUGUUAGGCUGGUUGGUCUUUUGUAACUUAGGGCUCAUACGUUAAGUUAUCCCAUUUAACAAGUCCUUGUUUUGUAUUUGUUUUAGCUCCUUGGCUUUUGAACAGUCCUCCUAACAGGACUGCUAUGGAAAACUUAAAAUGUUUUACUGCUGUUUAAAGUUUUUUAUUCAUGUUUGGAUGGAUCUAGGUGCUAGGUUUAAAUCUGCAGGUUAACAAAUAAGACCUUGCUUGACCCAUGACAUUUCCUGCAUGAAUUUUUUGAUAAAAAAUACUAAACUUUUUUCAUUUUUGUCUUAAAUUUCCAGGAAAAGCUACAUGCUUUAGCAGAAUUCCAGAGACUGGAUGGCUUUGUCUGAAAACUGAAACUUACUGUUUUGAAAGCUCUGACAUUAUAACUUGGAUGCCUGCUGGUCCUAUUCUGCAAGGCUGAAGCUGCCUGCCACCUUUGACACUGUGCCAUGAUCUUUCCUCUUUGAAGGGAGCGCUGGAAGUAGGGAAUACCUCAAAGUUAUCUGUUAUUGGAGUUGUCACUUAUAUGGAAGUGAGAAGCAAGUUGAGUUUCCAAAUCUGCCCACUCCAGAAACUGGAAGAAUUGUGAGAAGUAAUUGGGUGUGAAAUAAAUAUGUGUUCACAAGUAA